rnacentral:rRNA from 1 species
GACGAACGCUGGCGGCGUGCUUAACACAUGCAAGUCGAACGAAGUGGCGAACGGGUGAGUAACGCGUAAUCAACCUGCCCUUCACAGGGGGACAACAGUUGGAAACGACUGCUAAUACCGCAACAUGAAGGAGGGGCUUGCGUUGGAUUAGCUAGUUGGAGGGGUAACGGCCAACCAAGGCGAUGUUCAGUAGCCGGUCUGAGAGGAUGAACGGCCACAUUGGGACUGGGACACGGCCCAGACUCCUACGGGAGGCAGCAGUGGGGAAUCUUCCGCAAUGGAGGAAAGUCUGACGGAGCAACGCCGCGUGAGUGAUGACGGCCUUCGGGUUGUAAAGCUCUGUUAUUCGGGACGCGGUACCGGAAUAGAAAGCCACGGCUAACUACGUGCCAGCAGCCGCGGUAAUAC